CGGGCGUUGAGGAAGUGAGCGGGGCGGGCGGGGUGGGGGACAGCCCGGAGGCGGGAGAAGCGAGCUGCCCAAGCGGCCUCUCACCUGUGUCGUCCCCUCGCGUCUGGGCGGCCGCGCUGCUGUUGUGGUAGGACUGGAGUUGCUGAGACAGAAGGAAAAUCCACUCCUUUGGAGGAGUAUGGCCUUUUCCUCUAUUGCUUCCCAUCGCUGCCACUCAGCUUCUUGAACCCUUGACCCUUGGACACCAUCAUCAAGAAAACCAUGGAUGUACACCUUGAGAGAAGAGGAGCAUCAAAUACAGUUUCUCAGCAGAUUUCAAGGUGUGACUGCCACCAGGGUCAGAUUAAAGACCAACUAGAAAACUUCUUGAAGGACUAACAUACAAGGCACUAAAAUAUCAACCACACCCAUGGAAAUAAAAGAAGAAGACCUUCUUUAGGGAGAAUUCUGUGUUGGGCUGGAGGGAAUGGUUCAAUACAUUUUCUGGGUGGUGGAUAGUAAGGCAUAAUCAAGGUAUAAAGUAAUGUGGGGCUGCUUUACUGGAGGGCUCUAUUUUCUCCUGGGAUAUAUUGAUAUCAGGUUGAUUGCUUGGAGCAAUGAAGGAAAGGCAGACUACCCUGGUGGUCUCCCUGCUGGAUCUUGUUCAGUCAGGGUUCACCCUAUCCUCUGGUAAAUGAUCUGGCAAGUGAUAGCUUGAAAGAGACACCAAUUUAUUAGUCAAGACAUCUCUGCUCUAUACUCUAGAAAAUGAAGACACACGUAGAAGUUGUCUUGCACUUUUAGGAUGUUAUUCCUUAAUGUGCUUAAUAUUCACUUGGGGCUAAGGAUUACUGACAAACCAGAUCAAAUCAAUGAAACCUGAACUUUUUGCCUA